CCCUGACCGGGUGCCUCCGUCAAUCAAUGCUCCUAGUGCUUACAGAGGGCUCCAAGCUCUCCAUCAGACACCAUAGGCACUGCAGACCCCACGCCGCUUGGUUGGGAUCUUGCGUCCUCCACCCACUCUGGAACCAAGACCAGGAUCCAGCUUCCAGUGGGUGAACCUCUCCUCCAAGAGAGUAUAGCUGUUAAGCUCUUACAAGAGAUAGUGGUUACAGCUUGUAUAGCAGGUCCCUACAAACACGAGGCAAGGCUCUAUGUUGAGGGUAAAGCAGGACUCAAUUUUAAUGGUGCCACAUUGGC